UCCUGUCUGUCACUGCUCUGCACUCAGCCCUGUCACAGCACCACGCUGUAUCUGGCGUUUGUUUCCUUUCCAAAACUGCUCCGAACUCCGAUUAAAAGUAGCAAUUGGGCUAAAACAGCUCCACGAAACUCCUCAUCCUCUCAUCUACCUCUCUGGCGAUCGAUACAUCUCCCCAUAUCCCGGCGGAUCCUCGUAUUAAACCCCCCCGUGUUCGCACUACUCACCGGUCAGGUUGUUUUUUUUCCCCCCUUCCUUCUGAUUAAUUCUCUUCGAUGGCGAGCUAUCCCGUCCCCUACCUCCUGCUGCGGUAGGACACCUUUUGUUGUUUCAUCGAACCUGGAUCAAGGAUUGUUUUGUUCAUGGACACUGAACUGAAAAAAAGACUUUGAAUUCCGAACCUCUCAAAAGGAGGCUUUGAACUGAACUUUGAACUGUAAUUCCCGACCUGGUGAUCUUUUGUUUGGUUUUGAACUUUCGAACUGUAUUGGUUUUUGUUUUAUAAUUAAUAUACAUAAUAUAAUAUUAAUACCAUAACUAAUAUUAUAUUAUACUAUAUUAAUUGAUUAUACCUGUUUAUUAUCUAUAUAUUUAUAUUAUACAUACCUCAUACUAUUUCACCCUUACUAUUGUUAUUAUUACUCUGGUUAUUAUACAAUACCUUUUAUUUAUACGCAAAUCCAAUUACAAAUUUUGAAAAAAUACAUCUACGAAACUUAAAUCAACCGUGUCUGUCCAUUUUUCAUACCCUUUGGCUCCAGCAGACGAACCUGGUCUGAUCACUCAUUAUAACAUCUACUUGCAGUCAGUUCCCUAGCCCCUAGGGCAUUACAAAUCACAUGUUUUUUUGUUUUUUGUUUUUGCCUCUAAACUCUCAUUUGUACAAUAGCACAUUCUAUGUUGCUGGCUUCAUUUAUUUCUUUUUUUUUAAUUCAAAGUUUUAUCUUUCAAAGCUUGAUCAGAUUUUCUGUUCAAAACAAAGAGGGAAGAUCCACAAACAUUUUUGAGAAAAGUAUGAGAAACUAACAAAAUUAUAUGACACAAAGAAGAAGGUGAAUAAAAAUGGCUAACGUGUAAUGGGGAAAAUAGUAACCAUUAUUAAAUUAUUGUGAUUAAAUAGUGACAUAAAGGUUUGGUUAAGUUUUGGUGAGAUUUGGUUUGUAAUACACUGUAAAAAAAAUACUACAUCGUAUGUUGUUCAGCAUAAAUAUACAUUACAAAUUGUUAGGCCUUAAAUGUAAUUCAUUCAGCAUAAAUAUACAUUACAAAUUGUUAGGCCUUAAAUGUAAUUCAUUCAAAAAAGCAAGUAAAAAUGUAAGAAAUCAAGCUUGUCUCUUGUUGUAGUGAAUGUGACUCCUGAUCUCUCUGAGUCUUUGUGACAAUAAA